CAGUAGCCGCGGUAAUACCAGCAGCCCAAGUGGUGGUCACGAUUAUUGGGCCUAAAGCGCUCGUAGCCGGGCCGGUAAGUCCCUUGUGAAAUCGGACGGCCUAACCGUUCGGCGUGCAAGGGAUACUGUCGGUCUUGAGGCCGGGAGACGUCCGAGGUACUCCGGGGGUAGCGGUGAAAUGUUCUGAUCCUCGGGGGACCACCGGUGGCGAAGGCGUUCGACGAGAACGGGCCUGACGGUGAGGGGCGAAGGCUAGGGGAGCAAACGGGAUUAGAUACCCCAGUAGUCCCUGUCUCUUAUA
rnacentral:rRNA from 1 species